GGAAACUGUAUUUCCUGUCAGAGAUGCUCAGUGAUCCUCAGAGCAGAGAGAGGUACUGCUGUCUCCUGAGUUCUUCAGUGUCCCAACUGAAACAUUCAAACCUCAUUGCAGAGCUCAUGUCUUUCCUCACCAUCAUGUGAGUGUGAGAUUGCUCUGGAUUCUGGUUAUGUGGCCUGCAGCACCUAUAAGAACAAGCUCGUACAGUGUGCCUGCAUUCCAGCUUCUUAGACUCUACGUAAGUGGACAGUAUCAGUGUUUGGCCACUCUUACAGACACCGACUUCUGUCAACUCACUGCUACUGAUCAGGCACCUCACUCCAGGAAGACAGAGGGCUGCAAGCCUGUCAUCGUUUCCAGUGUGGCUUUGAAUUCUUGGGGUAGUAUCAGAUUUUUCCCACAAAUAUUCAAAGGUAACACUUAUUUUAAGCUUAGUUAUUAAAUCAAAAGUCUUCCCUUGUGUUAAUUUUUUUAUUAUUAUUUUAUUU